rnacentral:rRNA from 1 species
GACGAACGCUGGCGGCGUGCCUAAUACAUGCAAGUCGAGCGAAUGACGAGAAGCUUGCUUCUCUGAUUUAGCGGCGGACGGGUGAGUAACACGUGGGCAACCUGCCCUACAGAUCGGGAUAACUCAGGGAAACCUGGGCUAAUACCGGAUAAUCCUUCGAAUCACAUGUUUUGAAGUUGAAAGGCGCUUCGGCGUCACUGUAGGAUGGGCCCGCGGUGCAUUAGCUAGUUGGUGGGGUAACGGCCUACCAAGGCGACGAUGCAUAGCCGACCUGAGAGGGUGAUCGGCCACAUUGGGACUGAGACACGGCCCAAACUCUUACGGGAGGCAGCAGUAGGGAAUCUUCCACAAUGGACGAAAGUCUGAUGGAGCAACGCCGCGUGAGUGAUGAAGGUUUUCGGAUCGUAAAACUCUGUUGUAAGGGAAGAACAAGUACGUUAGGAAAUGAACGUACCUUGACGGUACCUUAUUAGAAAGCCACGGCUAACUACGUGCCAGCAGCCGCCGUAA